CCUACGGGAGGCAGCAGUAGGGAAUCUUCGGCAAUGGACGGAAGUCUGACCGAGCAACGCCGCGUGAGUGAAGAAGGUUUUCGGAUCGUAAAGCUCUGUUGUAAGAGAAGAACGAGUGUGAGAGUGGAAAGUUCACACUGUGACGGUAUCUUACCAGAAAGGGACGGCUAACUACGUGCCAGCAGCCGCGGUAAUACGUAUGUCGCGAGCGUUAUCCGGAAUUAUUGGGCAUAAAGGGCAUCUAGGCGGCCGGGUAAGUCCGGGGUGAAAACUGCUGGCUCAACCAGCAGCCUGCCUUGGAAACUACCCGGCUUGAGUGCUGGAGAGGUGGACGGAACUGCACGAGUAGAGGUGAAAUUCGUAGAUAUGUGCAGGAAUGCCGAUGAUGAAGAUAGUUCACUGGACGGCAACUGACGCUGAAGUGCGAAAGCUAGGGGAGCGAACAGGAUUAGAUACCCUGGUAGUCCUAGCUGUAAACGAUGAUUACUGGGUGUGGGCAUGAAGAGUGUCCGUGCCGAAGCUAAUGCGAUAAGUAAUCCGCCUGGGGAGUACGGCCGCAAGGCUGAAACUCAAAGGAAUUGACGG
rnacentral:rRNA from 1 species